GCUGAGGCGUGAUGACGAGGCACUACGGUGCUGAAGCGACAAAUGCCCUGCUUCCAGGAAAAGCCUCUAAGCAUCAGGUAACAUCAAAUCGUACCCCAAACCGACACAGGUGGUCAGGUAGAGAAUACCAAGGCGCUUGAGAGAACUCGGGUGAAGGAACUAGGCAAAAUGGUGCCGUAACUUCGGGAGAAGGCACGCUGAUAUGUAGGUGAAGCGACUUGCUCGUGGAGCUGAAAUCAGUCGAAGAUACCAGCUGGCUGCAACUGUUUAUUAAAAACACAGCACUGUGCAAACACGAAAGUGGACGUAUACGGUGUGACGCCUGCCCGGUGCCGGAAGGUUAAUUGAUGGGGUUAGCGGCAACGCGAAGCUCUUGAUCGAAGCCCCGGUAAACGGCGGCCGUAACUAUAACGGUCCUAAGGUAGCGAAAUUCCUUGUCGGGUAAGUUCCGACCUGCACGAAUGGCGUAAUGAUGGCCAGGCUGUCUCCACCCGAGACUCAGUGAAAUUGAACUCGCUGUGAAGAUGCAGUGUACCCGCGGCAAGACGGAAAGACCCCGUGAACCUUUACUAUAGCUUGACACUGAACAUUGAGCCUUGAUGUGUAGGAUAGGUGGGAGGCUUUGAAGUGUGGACGCCAGUCUGCAUGGAGCCGACCUUGAAAUACCACCCUUUAAUGUUUGAUGUUCUAACGUUGGCCCGUAAUCCGGGUUGCGGACAGUGUCUGGUGGGUAGUUUGACUGGGGCGGUCUCCUCCUAAAGAGUAACGGAGGAGCACGAAGGUUGGCUAAUCCUGGUCGGACAUCAGGAGGUUAGUGCAAUGGCAUAAGCCAGCUUGACUGCGAGCGUGACGGCGCGAGCAGGUGCGAAAGCAGGUCAUAGUGAUCCGGUGGUUCUGAAUGGAAGGGCCAUCGCUCAACGGAUAAAAGGUACUCCGGGGAUAACAGGCUGAUACCGCCCAAGAGUUCAUAUCGACGGCGGUGUUUGGCACCUCGAUGUCGGCUCAUCACAUCCUGGGGCUGAAGUAGGUCCCAAGGGUAUGGCUGUUCGCCAUUUAAAGUGGUACGCGAGCUGGGUUUAGAACGUCGUGAGACAGUUCGGUCCCUAUCUGCCGUGGGCGCUGGAGAACUGAGGGGGGCUGCUCCUAGUACGAGAGGACCGGAGUGGACGCAUCACUGGUGUUCGGGUUGUCAUGCCAAUGGCACUGCCCGGUAGCUAAAUGCGGAAGAGAUAAGUGCUGAAAGCAUCUAAGCACGAAACUUGCCCCGAGAUGAGUUCUCCCUGAGACUUAGAGUCUCCUGAAGGAACGUUGAAGACGACGACGUUGAUAGGCCGGGUGUGUAAGCGCAGCGAUGCGUUGAGCUAACCGGUACUAAUGAACCGUGAGGCUUAACCUU
rnacentral:rRNA from 1 species